UCCCCCCCUGCGGGGGGAGGGCCGCGUCUCCCCCCCGGGGGGGGGGGGGGGACCCCGGUGUCACCCCUCCCCUCGGCACUGCCGCCGGGGGGCGGCGCCC
rnacentral:tRNA from 1 species